rnacentral:lncRNA from 1 species
AUGUCAAAGGAAUCAGAAGACAAAUGCGAGAGAUUACAACGAGCAUUAUUGGAGUGCCACCGUCGUGUGCCGUCCGGCCCGGGUCAAAACUUCGCUUGCCGUCAUCUUAACAACGCCUUCGCUGUCUGUGUUGUUUCUCUUGCGUUCCCCGAAGAAUCCGAGGCGGUGAGGAAUCUCUGCUCCAGCGUAGGCACUGCUCUUAAGCGGCGACAAUGUCAACAAGCUCAGAUUUCUCUCUCUGUUUGUCUUGAUUAUCGUUCAAAUUUGUAA